AUUGAACGCUGGCGGCAUGCCUUACACAUGCAAGUCGAACGGUAACAGGUCUUCGGAUGCUGACGAGUGGCGAACGGGUGAGUAAUACAUCGGAACGUGCCCGAGAGUGGGGGAUAACGAGGCGAAAGCUUUGCUAAUACCGCAUACGAUCUCAGGAUGAAAGCAGGGGACCGCAAGGCCUUGCGCUCACGGAGCGGCCGAUGGCAGAUUAGGUAGUUGGUGGGAUAAAAGCUUACCAAGCCGACGAUCUGUAGCUGGUCUGAGAGGACGACCAGCCACACUGGGACUGAGACACGGCCCAGAAUCCUACGGGAGGCAGCAGUGGGGAAUUUUGGACAAUGGGCGCAAGCCUGAUCCAGCCAUGCCGCGUGCAGGAUGAGGGCCUUCGGGUUGUAAACUGCUUUUGUACGGAACGAAAAGACCCCUUCUAAUAAAGGGGGUCCAUGACGGUACCGUAAGAAUAAGCACCGGCUAACUACGUGCCAGCCGCCGCGGUAACAC
rnacentral:rRNA from 1 species